rnacentral:lncRNA from 1 species
UGUUCCUGAAAAGACAUGAGUUGUAUAGUUCAGCAUCCUGCUUUGUGGUAGGUUGAUAAUAUUCCAUUUUUAUGAUUACCCUGCUUUAGAUUAUUCUUGUGUGCCUUGUGCAGCCUUUCCAUUCUAGGCAUCAUUUCUCAAUUGUUUGGGGUCCAAUUCUACAAAUGCUUGGAUGUGUUGGUUCGGCCUUCUGUUAAUCUCCAGAUGAUAGGUGAGGCAGGCAAGUUAAUUCUCUGGUUUCUCAUGAUACUUCUAAAAUCUAUUGCAUAGUAGGAUACGUGCCUGAAAUGUGUGCACACUUACAAUUUCGGUUGUUGUGGAGUUAAAUUAUAAAUUGAUUUGACACGAUAGAUAUAUAUAGAAAAAGCUUUCAACCAAGCAGACUAUUCUUUUAGUAUAUAAAUAGUAUGGCUAUAUACACUGAGUGCAAAAGCUAUUUGUUUGCCACUUAAGCUUAUAUAUUUUCUUUAGCUAUCGUCCUUUGACAUUUUCUUUAUGCAAUGGUUGGUUGAUCAAGCCGAGGACUUCCCUGCGGUGCUUGGUUGGACCAUGUUUCAUUCAGCUAAUAAAAUAGUAUAUAUGUGUGUGUGAUUGCUUCAUCAAUUUUCAGAAACAUUUGUUGCCCAGUAGCUUCCAAAUAGCAGUUUAGCUUUCUUUGUUGCACCUAUAUACUUGCACCUUACAACAACCAUCAUGUUCGCAAAUCGUCUCUAUGAAUGUCCUUUCUUUACUCAUUUAGGACUUAUGAGUUGAUUAAUAUGUCACUCUCAAUAAAGUGUUUUCUUUAAAUGAGGAAUGACAUAUAUAAUUGGUUCUAUUAUAGUAGCUAGCAUUCAUCUUUUCCAAAUAAAUUGUACUGCCUUUUGCUUUAUCUCUUGGUAUAUUUUUCAUUGCUAACAAUUGAUCUGUAGAGAUGCUAUUCUGUCAAGAUUUUCUGCUAUCAAAUAAUUCAUGGCCAGCUACAAUGUUUACCCUUUUAUGUAACUAUUGAGACCCUCUCAGCUGUGCGAUAUAAUCUCAGCUCUCAGGCGCUAGAUUAUGUAUGUACUUGCCUCUCGUUAUGGCACUCACAAUGCUUCAUGUUUGUUUACCUUUCUCAUUUCUGUGCUGUCCUGUAAUAAAACAAGAUAUUUACUCAAAUCCUUGCAGGAAUAACUAAGCCUUUCAAGGAUGUUGCUUGAAGAUGGAGGGAUCUUUCCCUACAAGUUUGUUCUUUUUGUUGUUACAGCAAAGACUACUUCCUGGGUUGUCGAGGUGAGUUGUAUGAUGUAAGCACUUAUGGAGGAGAAAAAAUUACUUAGAAUUUGACUUCUCCUGCAUUUAUAGGCUAAUCAAGUGACCUUUUGUCAACUUUUAUGCAAUCUGGCUCUCCAAAUUUUGUGCUUGCUCUGAACUCUCAAAAUUUGUGCUUUGCUGUCCUGUGUUGAUUAGUCAAAUCCUGGUUUUGUCUUAAAGACUAUACCCAGCCAUGUCCUAGGUUUUUCAUUUUGUAUGAAUUUCAUGUUUCCCUGGAAUAUGAGAAUACACCAACUGGAAGAACUGUUGAGCAACACAUUUUCAUGGGAUUUUAUAUGUUGUGAUGUCUGAUUUUUGUCUCUCUUCCAGUUUACAUAGAGAAGCCUCGGUAAGUACUCAAGAAUUUUGUUUUCGUCUAUAUUGACAGACUUUAGGUAUUUUUUUAGAAUGGUUCUGAAACGAGGUCACUCCUACUGAUCUUGCUCUUCGUGUCCGGUGGCAGGAUGCUAGGUCAAGAAUGCAGGGUGGGCGAAAGAAAAUUGUGAAUGCUUUUAUCUCCGUGGUCAUUUGGAGCAUAUGGAGGGACAAGAUAGCGGGCUUUAAUAGUGUCUUCGCGCUGCUCCAGAGAGUCAUCGAUCCUGAUACUAGGCAGUAGGCUGGUGUGAGCUUGGGUCAUUUGAUCAUCCCCGAUUGUGUAAAGACUCCUCUGGAAUAUAUGCAAUCCUAUUGCAUGGUUUAAAAAAGAAUGAUUCUGAAACGGGUGUAAAGCAGUGUACGUGCUUGGCCACAGCUAAACCUACUAAUAUAUGGAAUUUUUUUCAAAGCACACAUGGUGUUAGUGGGUCUCUGCUCCAGUUGGCGCAACGGGUGGUAUCAUGCCCAUGCCUAUAUGACACGAUAUACUUCUUUGUAAUGUAAUCAGUUGUGCAUGUCAAUGGAAGUGGUUUAAAGCAUGUAAGCUGAUGCAUCUUGUGCUUGCUUGUCACUAUUUGUACUAGGCAAGGUCUGCAAUAGAUUAUAUAUUCAUUCAAACAUGUACUUGGUUUGCUUCCUUUUCCUGCUUG